UAACACAUGCAAGUCGAGCGAAGCACUUUGCUUAGAUUCUUCGGAUGAAGAGGAUUGUGACUGAGCGGCGGACGGGUGAGUAACGCGUGGGUAACCUGCCUCAUACAGGGGGAUAACAGUUAGAAAUGGCUGCUAAUACCGCAUAAGCGCACAGUACCGCAUGGUACCGUGUGAAAAACUCCGGUGGUAUGAGAUGGACCCGCGUCUGAUUAGCUAGUUGGCAGGGUAACGGCCUACCAAGGCGACGAUCAGUAGCCGACCUGAGAGGGUGAUCGGCCACAUUGGGACUGAGACACGGCCCAAACUCCUACGGGAGGCAGCAGUGGGGAAUAUUGCACAAUGGGGGAAACCCUGAUGCAGCGACGCCGCGUGAAGGAAGACGUAUUUCGGUAUGUAAACUUCUAUCAGCAAGGAAGAUGAUGACGGUACUUGACUAAGAAGCCCCGGCUAACUACGUGCCAGCAGCCGCGGUAAUACGUAGGGGGCAAGCGUUAUCCGGAUUUACUGGGUGUAAAGGGAGCGUAGGCGGCCAUGCAAGUCAGAAGUGAAAGCCCGGGGCUCAACCCCGGGACUGCUUUUGAAACUGUAAGGCUAGAUUGCCGGAGAGGUAAGCGGAAUUCCUAGUGUAGCGGUGAAAUGCGUAGAUAUUAGGAGGAACACCAGUGGCGAAGGCGGCUUACUGGACGGGUGAAUGACGCUGAG
rnacentral:rRNA from 1 species